GCCAGGCGCGGUGGCACAUGCCUGUAAUCCCAGCGGCUUGGGAGGCUGAGACAGGAGGAUCACAAGUUCAAAGCCAACCUCAGCAACUUCGAAGUACUAAGCAACUCAGUGAGACCCUGUCUCUA
rnacentral:sRNA from 1 species